ensembl:lncRNA FAM66D family with sequence similarity 66 member D
GGGCGCAUGCGCGGUCCUGCCUCCCGCGGCGGGCCGGGUCUCCAGGGAGGACCUGAGUUUUCUUCACCCAUUGUCAGGAAGGCGCCAUCGCCCUGGCUUUUGGGGCUGGGGCCUCCGGGGAGGUUCCGGUAGGGGCGUUGGAGAGGCCCGCUCUUUUUGCAAGGCCCGAGACGGCGGGCCCUGCGCAGGCCGCCCUAUUUCCGCGCGCCCUCAGGGCGUCAGUAUCAGCCUGAGGCUGGAUACCCCCGCUGGCCCCGGAUGCCCCCGCUGGGCCCGGAGCAUCCUCCGGCGCUGCCCUCCCAGAGCCACGCAGAGGCUGAGGUGGCGCGGGGGCGGCCCCGGCUCCGCGAGAAGCGGCGGCAGCGAGGGCUGGAGGACCCGGGCUGCGGGGCUCCGGGGCGUCUGGCCUGGGUGGGACUGAGCCCAUCCAGGGACUGGGACUCUGGGAUUCUGGUGUAGGUGGAUCCGGGGCAGGCUCAGGACCAAGUCCCUCUCCUUCCACCAAGGAGCGCCCAGAGGCCGGCGGGAGCUCCAGGUUCACCUCCUCCUCCUCCAGGAAAUCCCACUUCCAGCUAGAUGUCUGCAUGAACUACUGAAAGCUGCUGAGUGUCUUGCAGCAGCUUGACUACCACACAAAUGAAUCCAUUCAAAUGUUGGCAAGUGGAGCAGAGUCCCAGGACAGUCUCCAAUCUCUACAGGUACAGAAACACCCCCAGUUCAAGAAUCUUCACAUCUGAAUUUAGUCCUACACCUGCAACUACCCCAGCUACUUACACCAAGAUGAAGAUAAUUUAUUAGUUCAGGAAGAAUCUCCAUUCUGAAGGCAAAUAGAAGUUCCAGCUACAGAUGGGCAGACACAUGCCCUCUCAAUUCCUGAUGGACCUCCUUGUGCCUCCUGGACCUAAGGGGCCUCCCUCAAUGUUUCAAGAUGCCACCAAGGCAGGGAUCAGCUCGUGCAUUCCUGAGAACAUCCAGGAUGAAAUGAGGCUCUGGAAAAAUGCAAGAGUUUCCACAUAAUCCCAAAAAACCCUACAGGUGAACUGGAUGCCACAGAAAGAGGAGUGGUCUUUGACACAACAAAAUCAACAAAAUUAUUUCGAAGUCAAUUAGGAAACUCAGAAAUCACUCUUGCUGUCAUUAAGAGGAAGAACAGGAGCCUGUGAAUGGCAUCCCUGGCCUUCCCCAGACUCCACAGAUAUUUCUAUGUGGCUUCAGACAACAGAAAUCUCUGUGAUUUUCAGAAAGGCAGGGACAGCUCAUGCCAGCCCAUCCCUCUGCAGAAUGUGUCCCAGCAGAUCAGUGGCAUGGAACCAUCAUGGACAGCACAAAGGCUCAAGGGCAGCAUCCCAGGCCGGCCUGUGACUCUAGAUAAGUUCUGAGUCCCCAUGGGGGCUCAGGAAAGGUUAGUGAUGACCUGGAAAGAAGGGACUGGCUGAAACCUCCCCUAAGCAAUCUGCAGGAUUCCAACUUCAGCAGGAAGCCAAGGACCAGCUCGUACCACAACGGCUCCCCCUGAAAACGCUGGAUACAAUCCCACUCUGCAGAAAGUUCCACAUAGAAGUGGCUGGGAAUUUUGCCUUCUAGACUGCAUUUUACAGUGCCUCUGGACAUGUGAUGAGAAAGUUAACAUUGGUGUAUCUAGCUCUGACAUAUUUCACGAAGCGAUUUUUAAAAAUGUGGUAAAAAAGACAAAAUAUAAUUGAAACAUAUGCAUUAUAUGUCAGAGUAUGCUUCGCUGGCAUCAAGUAGACUCACCUUGAGAUACAAUCUUGGACAACCUCCAUCUUCAGAAUAUCUACUUUUUCAAAGAGAAACUCUCCAACCAAAAAUCAAUAACAUCAAAAGUUUGCAACUACAAGCCGACAGAAAAUAAAUACAGGAAUUCUACCACAGUGAAUUGGACCGCACUGGGAAACACAGAUGAAGAAAGUCAACACCGCUUUGUCCAUCAGUGCCUGGCUCCCUUUUCAGCUCGUCUUGAGACUCCAGGCAUUAUGCCUGAAAAGUCUCCCGGACGCCUGUGAGGCUCUAAUUCCCUGGGUCCCAUUGCCAUGUCUCUGGAUUUGCGAAGAUCCACCUGACCAUCUGUGGAACUCCCGUGUCCCUAUACUUUUGUGCCACGGCCCCUAAUUCUGCCCAUGGUCAUCUGCACCUGCACGACUUAGGGUCCAUGUUCCUUGGACAGGAAGAGACAGGCAGGAGUCGGAAUGAUGAACCAGCACACUGGGGCGUUUUCUCAUGUAGCCCAAGUGACCCCAUGAUCUUCUCGGGCUUUGGAACCAGUCGCGUCCCCUUUGACACUGCACCCGGCUCCCAGUCUCUCAAUCUUGUUGGCCCUCCGCCGAUCUCCCGUUGCAUGAAUUGCACCUGCUAAAACUCGAGUCCCCUUUGAUUUGCGCUUCAUUAAUUAUUCAUGAUUCAGGUUGGAAGGCCUGCUGACGACCCCCUGUGGCUCGUCGUUCUCUGAGCUUUCCUGUCACAUCGUUUCCUUCCACGCUCUUUGGUUCCUUAUGGUCCUGCUCCUUCUGCUGUCAGAGGAGCAGAGAGUUGAUCUUAUUGAUUCUGGAUACGGAUACUUUCUAGGUGAUCUGGAUAAUCAAGAUAACGACCCUCAACAGCGGCGGAAAGGGAGCAGCCAGUUGGUGUGUCUCAGAAAAUCCCGCUGAGUUCCGAGGCCUCCUAGAUGUGGAAUCCUGCUGAGAGUUGUUCCCAGGUCAGAGAAUGGAGAGAGCCUGUGCAUGAUGGGAUAUCCCUGCCUAGAUCUUUCAAUGAGUCUCUACCUCAGCUACUCUUAGGAUCAGGGGGAGAAGCAUGGAAAGGCCCGGUGUCAGACAUCCGGAACGACGUGAUGAAUGUUUUACCUCUGAAGUACAUCCCAAAUCUGGGAGUUAACUUCAGGUUUGCUGGGGUCUACUUGGCCAGUGAAACUCUGCCUGGUUCAUUCGCACAUCCGGAAGCCACUUCACGGGGGGCCGUCGCAACUGGAACCACACACUUGGCAUCGGCGGUUGAGCCAAAUGGGGACUCGUGGUGCAAGCAACGCUCCCCACGUGUUAGCGUGCGUGAGAUUCGGUUGGCGGAAUUUUACUAGGUGCGUGUUUGUAGAGUGGGGCUGAGGUUUUCUUGCUCCUGCGGAUGUAUAGGAAGUCAAAGCACCUGCCCAGCCCUGCGGUCCCCUCAGUCAACUCUGUUUCGGAGACAUAACGAUUUGGAUUGCUAACAGGUCAAGAAACUUUCAAGCCCUUGGAUGUAGGCAAAAGAAAGAGAGAUCAGACUGUCACUGUGUCUAUGUAGAAAGGGAAAACAAAGAGACUCCAUUUUGAAAAAGACCUGUACUUUAAACAAUUGCUUUGCUGAGAUGUUGUUCAUUUGUAGCUUUUCCCCAGCCGCUUUGCCCCAGCCGCUUUGACCCAACUUGGAGCUCACAAAAACCUGUGUUGUAUAAAAUCAAGGUUUAAGGGAUCUAGGGCCGUGCAGGACGUGCCUUGUUAACCAAAUGUUUACAAGCAGUAUACUUGGUAAAAGUCAUGGCCAUUCUCUAGUCUCAAUAAACCAGGGGCACAAUGCACCGUGGAAAGCCUCAGGGACCUCUGCCCUUGAAAGCAGGGUAUUGUCCAACGUUUCUCCCCAUGCGAUGGUCUGAAAUAUGGCCUCGUGGGAUGAGAAAGACCUGUCCCCCAGCCUGACACCGGUAAAGCGUCUGCGCUGAGGUGGAUUAGUAAAAGAGGAAAGCCUCUUGCAGUUGAGAUGGAGGAAGGCCACUGUCUCCUGCUUGCCCCUGGGAACUGAAUGUCUUGGUGUAAAACCCAAUCGUACAUUUGUUCAACUCUGAGCUCCGAGAAAAGCUGCCCUGUGGCGGGAGGCGAGACAUGUUGGCAGUAAUGCUGCCUUGUUAUUCUUUACUCCACUGAGAUGUUUGGGUGGAGAGAGACAUAAAUCUGGCCUACGUGCACGUCCAGGCAUAGUACCUUCCCUUGAACUUAAUUAUCAUAUAGAUUCUUUCGCUCACAUGUUUUUCGUUGACCUCCUUAUUAUCACCCUGCUCUCCUAGUAUAUUCCUUUUUGCUGAAAUAAUGAAAAUCAUAAUCAAUAAAAACUGAGGGAACUCAGAGGCCGGUGCCGGUGCAGGUCCUUGGUG